rnacentral:rRNA from 1 species
CUAGUCGAUGUCGAUUUGGAGGUUGUGCCCUUGAGGCGUGGCUUCCGGAGCUAACGCGUUAAAUCGACCGCCUGGGGAGUACGGCCGCAAGGUUAAAACUCAAAUGAAUUGACGGGGGCCCGCACAAGCGGUGGAGCAUGUGGUUUAAUUCGAUGCAACGCGAAGAACCUUACCUGGUCUUGACAUCCACAGAACUUAGCAGAGAUGCUUUGGUGCCUUCGGGAACUGUGAGACAGGUGCUGCAUGGCUGUCGUCAGCUCGUGUUGUGAAAUGUUGGGUUAAGUCCCGCAACGAGCGCAACCCUUAUCCUUUGUUGCCAGCGGUCCGGCCGGGAACUCAAAGGAGACUGCCAGUGAUAAACUGGAGGAAGGUGGGGAUGACGUCAAGUCAUCAUGGCCCUUACGACCAGGGCUACACACGUGCUACAAUGGCAUAUACAAAGAGAAGCGACCUCGCGAGAGCAAGCGGACCUCAUAAAGUAUGUCGUAGUCCGGAUUGGAGUCUGCAACUCGACUCCAUGAAGUCGGAAUCGCUAGUAAUCGUAGAUCAGAAUGCUACGGUGAAUACGUUCCCGGGCCUUGUACACACCGCCCGUCACACCAUGGGAGUGGGUUGCAAAAGAAGUAGGUAGCUUAACCUUCGGGAGGGCGCUUACCACUUUGUGAUUCAUGACUGGGGUGAAGUCGCAAGGGGGGAACACACA